rnacentral:rRNA from 1 species
AUUGAACGCUGGCGGCAGGCCUAACACAUGCAAGUCGAGCGAGCGGCGGACGGGUGAGUAAUGUCUGGGAAACUGCCUGAUGGAGGGGGAUAACUACUGGAAACGGUAGCUAAUACCGCAUACCAUCAGAUGUGCCCAGAUGGGAUUAGCUAGUAGGUGGGGUAACGGGUCACCUAGGCGACGGUCCCUAGCUGGUCUGAGAGGAUUACCAGCCACAUUGGAACGUAGACACGGUCCAGACGCCGACGUGAGGAAGCAGUGGGGAAUGUUGCACAAUGGGCGCAAGCCUGAUGCAGCCAUGCCGCGUGUGUGAAGAAGGCCUUCGGGUUGUAAAGCACUUUCAGCGGGGAGGCGUUACCCGCAGAAGAAGCACCGGCUAACUCCGUGCCAGCAGCCGCGGUAAUAC